rnacentral:tRNA from 1 species
GUGGGUAUGGCCUAGCAGGUUAAGGCGCCAGAUUGUGGUCCUGGAGAUCGUGGGUUCGAUCCCCACUAUCCACCCCA